rnacentral:rRNA from 1 species
UAAUACGUAGGCAGCAAGCGUUGUUCGGAGUUACUGGGCGUAAAGGGUGUGUAGGCGGUUGUUUAAGUUUGGUGUGAAAUCUCCCGGCUCAACUGGGAGGGUGCGCCGAAUACUGAAUGACUCGAGUACGGGAGAGGAAAGUGGAAUUCCUGGUGUAGCGGUGAAAUGCGUAGAUAUCAGGAGGAACACCGGUGGUGUAGACGGCUUUCUGGACCGUAACUGACGCUGAGACACGAAAGCGUGGGUAGCAAACAGGA